GAUGGUAACAGAAUAAAGUGAAAAUGAGGGUUAGAUUUUUUGGAGUCCCAUUUUCGAACCCUAGCGACCGUCACUCACUCUCCGAUCUCCAUCUCCACUCUCCCCUCUCGGUUGCUUUCGCUGACCUUCAUCUCUGCGAGACUGCGACUGCGACUGCCUCUCACUCAGAAGUGUCUUCAUCCAUCUUCAGCGAUUGCGACUGCAACCUUCAUCUUCGCGAGACCUUGACUGUGACGAGCAAAGCGUGCGACUGAGACGAGUAGUGCUUUGCUCUGUAAGACUGUGACUUCCACCUCCAUUUCUCUUUCUUAACAACUUUGACCUGCUUCUCUGCUUCCCACACUUGUAAAUAGUAGCCUGGAGGAUGGUUCAACUUCAGAGAACAUGUAGCAUUGCUCUAAGUGAAUGUGGCCACAAGAUUGCCACAUCAAUUAAUUUGCAUCCUUAUAGUUGAAUAUUGAAUAUUAGCUUUAUAUUUCUUCCUAGUUUGUAAGCCUGUAAGCUUUCCUUGUAAUCUUUGCAUAACAACUGAAGACACUUGAGCUUUUAUAAAUCCGGUGCUUCCAAAGA